CUUCCUGCCCCUUCUCCCAGCUGGGUCUGAGCCCCUCCACCCUCCCGACGCCUUUGCUCCCGGCUCCGCGGGCAUCGGGCAUCUCUCGCCAUCUCUCUCACUCCCUCCCUGGCUCCUGUCUCUCGCUCAGCCUCCAGGUCUCUGCUGGUCCCCAGGAAGCACUUUGACCUCUGCAUCCCCCUCCAAAGCUGUGGAUCAAGCCUCCCCCCGCCCCACCACCCCACCAAAGGGGCUGCCAACCAAGAGACCCCACCCUGCCAGUAACCAGGUCAGCUCUGCAGAGGAGAGGGGAGGCAUCGAGCUCGGGACCCACCCAGUUCUCCAGGAGAUGGGGAGCCGGCUGGCGGAGGGGGGCACGCAACGAGGAGGCCUCUAAUGGCACCUGCUGGCGACAUGGGGCGCCUGUGGUCGCCCAGGAAGGGGAGCAACUCCCACCCCGGGGCUCCUCCUGCCUCAGCCGCCUCCGUCGCCCGGGAGCCCGAGGGAGCAAGGAAGAUGGGGCCUGAAUCCUUUCCACGACGUUGGAACUCAUUAACUGCCAGUCAUCAGGCAGCCAGGUGUCUGAGCUUGUGACUCGGGGACUGAAGGUGAUUUAGGUUGGGGAGGGAAUGGCGAGGGGUGGGGACAGCCUCCGGGGAGUGUAAGCAGAGAGGUACACAAACAGAAACGGCUGAUUCCAGCCCCCAGCCUGCCCUUGUCCAUGCUCAGGGAACAAAACUGAAUUAACUCAAGGUCAGGAGAGGC